rnacentral:lncRNA from 1 species
GGGGAACUAAACUCUAAUAUAGACACAAUUGAGUGAUAGGUGGAGCAGUAGAGGAGGCUAUGCGAAAGGGCAAUGUCUCGGAUUCAAAUCCCAUCGGCCGCGUAGCGUAAGAUUUUUCACAAGACGGGCGGGCGAUUAGCCUUGGUCUUCCUUGGGAUUAAUUUUUUUUUCUAUUUUUAAAAUCCGACAUAUUUUCUAGAAAAAUGUUUCCUCUAGCGAUUGGCUAAGAGAACCGCCUAUAGAAAUUUAUUUUCUACCAGAGGUUGUCUUAGCAAACCGCAUGUGAAAAUAGAUUUCCACUAGUGCAAAGAUUUAUUUCUACUUACCUCU